UGGAGACUGCAACCAAGAAACCAGAGGAAGAUUGAGAUUUGAAAGGGCAGCAAUGAAGCAACUAGAAAAAGUUCUGCACUUAGGAAGGAAAAAUCAGAUGCACAAACAUAGCAUAUGUGAAAACUGGCUCAGAGGUAGUACAUGUGAGAAGGAUCUAGGGGCCUAGUAGAUCACAAGCUAAACAUGAGACAAGUCUGAUGCAGCAACAGUAAGGGAAAAAAGAUGAAUAACAUACUUGAAUGUAUCAACAGAUAUGUAGCAUCCAGAUCAAGAUAUUUAUACUGCCACCCUGAAGCCAGAAACAGAUGUUUUAAUAAAUACUCAGAAGAUUUUCACAUCAAAGCCACAAAGCCAUGCCCUGUCCAGAGAAAACAUAUUUUUUCAAAGGAGAUAUUCAAAGCAGAUGAAAAGCCAGCACAGAAAAAUCAGCAAGAAAAUGCAGUGCCUCAAAGUGGAAAUGGUUCAGCUGUUCCAGCUACCAACAGUACACUACUUACUGGCAGGAAGACAACAGAGAAAGACAGCAAGCACAGAACUGACACUUCUGGAUCAUCUCUUUGCAUCCUACUAUAAAAGGGACCUAAAUGAAUAUAUAUCAGACAGAUAUAAUAAGCUUAAAGAACUUAAUUAGAAGUUGCUUAGUAGAAAGCAUUUUUUUCAUUAAAGAUUGUACCGUCCUGACAAGGACCUUUUGGUAGACUUUCCUUUUACCACUUGACCCGGCAUUGCAAUGUCCUAGAUACCACCCUUGAGACAAUUUUUAAAGUUUGCCUUGGAUAGCUGGAAGCUGGCAGAGGUCUUGCUUUCAAUUGCCUCACCUUCCCCCUUUUCUCUCUGGAAUAACAAAUCUGAGUCCCACAUGGUCCCAGCCUGUUCUUUAGAAAGGAAACAAGAUGAGGCAGCUGGAAACAAGAGCUCGGUCGCCUUCUAGCCACCCACAUCAAAACUCUGUUGGCCAAAGAGGAGAGACAGAACAAGAGGGAAAGCUGAUGCUCAGAAAAUCUGGACACUGGAGAUAAAGAAGCCAGCAGUAAAUAAGAGAAAGGGCAAAAAGUUUGCGUGUGUUUGGGCUGAGAAGAGGUACGCUAAGGAAAAUUGAAUGGUAAAUGUGAGUGGAUCUUCCAUGUUAGGAAUGCAGACUAAUUUUGUGUUUUGAGCUCAGACACAAACAUGGGAGUCAAGUCACUUUUAAUACAAAGACCAGUAUCCAAAUACACAAAGAAAACAAUCUACAAAAUAACACAUUUUCUUAUAUAAGAACAUAUAUGUAAGAGUUAAAAAUAUUCUAAAGAGAUGUGAUAAGUACUGCUGGCUCAAAUCCCUUUUGAGGAUUCCCACAGGUAGCUAAAACCUAUCAUUAAUUUGUUAAAACCUUCGUCUCACAACUGUUAAUUGCAGAUGCCCAAAAACAUGGGAGUAAUAUGCCAUUUUUAUGAUUAUUAAGGGGACAAAUCUUACUGUAAAAAAUAAUAUUAACUAUUAACAUUGACCAAAAUUUUAUUGAAUUUUUACACUUGUAUAACAUAGUGUAAAUCCUGGUGUUGACAUCUCACAAGUUAAUAAAUUAGUGUAUUAAUGCACCAAGCUGUGUUACCAACAAACCACCUACACUAAUGCCUGAAUUUUGUGCCAAUUCAAUGCCAAUAUUUACACCAUGUUACUCCAGCAAGCAUAACUACUGUAAUAGGAUUCUGUCCUUUUGAAGUAUGUGUAUUA